CCUACGGGAGGCAGCAGUGGGGAAUAUUGCGCAAUGGGCGAAAGCCUGACGCAGCGACGCCGCGUGAGGGAUGAAGGUCUUCGGAUCGUAAACCUCUGUCAGCAGGGAAGAACGGUCACUGUGCUAAUCAGCAGUGAAUUGACGGUACCUGCAAAGGAAGCACCGGCUAACUCCGUGCCAGCAGCCGCGGUAAUACGGAGGGUGCGAGCGUUAAUCGGAAUUACUGGGCGUAAAGCGCUCGUAGGCGGUAUGGCAAGUCAAGGGUGAAAUCCCCGCGCUCAACGUGGGAACUGCCUUUGAAACUGGCAAACUGGAGUGUGGGAGAGGAAAGCGGAAUUCCAGGUGUAGGGGUGAAAUCCGUAGAUAUCUGGAGGAACAUCAGUGGCGAAGGCGACUAUCUGGAACAUAACUGACGCUGAGGAGCGAAAGCGUGGGUAGCAAACAGGAUUAGAUACCCUGGUAGUC
rnacentral:rRNA from 1 species